GAUGAACGCUGGCGGCGUGCCUAAUACAUGCAAGUAGAACGCUGAAGGAGGAGCUUGCUCUUCUGGAUGAGUUGCGAACGGGUGAGUAACGCGUAGGUAACCUGCCUGGUAGCGGGGGAUAACUAUUGGAAACGAUAGCUAAUACCGCAUGACAACAGUUAUUGCAUGAUAACUGUUUAAAAGGGGCAACUGCUCCACUACCAGAUGGACCUGCGUUGUAUUAGCUAGUUGGUGAGGUAACGGCUCACCAAGGCGACGAUACAUAGCCGACCUGAGAGGGUGAGCGGCCACACUGAGACUGAGACACGGCCCAGACUCCUACGGGAGGCAGCAGUAGGGAAUCUUCAGCAAUGGACGGAAGUCUGACCGAGCAACGCCGCGUGAGUGAAGAAGGUUUUCGGAUCGUAAAGCUCUGUUGUAAGAGAAGAACGAGUGUGAGAGUGGAAAGUUCACACUGUGACGGUAUCUUACCAGAAAGAGACGGCUAACUACGUG
rnacentral:rRNA from 1 species